AGUGAACGCUGGCGGUAGGCCUAACACAUGCAAGUCGAACGGCAGCACAGUAAGAGCUUGCUCUUACGGGUGGCGAGUGGCGGACGGGUGAGGAAUACAUCGGAAUCUACUUUUUCGUGGGGGAUAACGGAGGGAAACUUACGCUAAUACCGCAUACGACCUACGGGAGAAAGCAGGGGAGCUUCGGACCUUGCGCGACUGAAUGAGCCGAUGUCGGAUUAGCUAGUUGGCGUGGUAAAGGCCCACCAAGGCAACGAUCCGUAGCUGGUCUGAGAGGAUGAUCAGCCACACUGGAACUGAGACACGGUCCAGACUCCUACGGGAGGCAGCAGUGGGGAAUAUUGGACAAUGGGCGCAAGCCUGAUCCAGCCAUACCGCGUGGGUGAAGAAGGCCUUCGGGUUGUAAAGCCCUUUUGUUGGGAAAGAAAAGCAGCAGAUUAAUACCCCGCUGUUCUGACGGUACCCAAAGAAUAAGCACCGGCUAACUUCGUG
rnacentral:rRNA from 1 species